UACGUAGGGUGCAAGCGUUGUCCGGAAUUUAUUGGGCGUAAAGAGCUCGUAGGUGGCCUGUCGCGUCGGCUGUGAAAACUCGGGGCUCAACUCCGAGCUUGCAGUCGAUACGGGCAGGCUAGAGUUCGGCAGGGGAGACUGGAAUUCCUGGUGUAGCGGUGAAAUGCGCAGAUAUCAGGAGGAACACCGGUGGCGAAGGCGGGUCUCUGGGCCGAUACUGACGCUGAGGAGCGAAAGCAUGGGUAGCGAACAGG
rnacentral:rRNA from 1 species